AUGAACGCUGGCGGCGUGCCUCAUCCCUGCCAGUCGAGCGAACAGACGAGGAGCUUGCUCCUCUGACGUUAGCGGCGGACGGGUGAGUAACACGUGGAUAACCUACCUAUAAGACUGGGAUAACUUCGGGAAACCGGAGCUAAUACCGGAUAAUAUAUUGAACCGCAUGGUUCAAUAGUGAAAGACGGUUUUGCUGUCACUUAUAGAUGGAUCCGCGCCGCAUUAGCUAGUUGGUAAGGUAACGGCUUACCAAGGCGACGAUGCGUAGCCGACCUGAGAGGGUGAUCGGCCACACUGGAACUGAGACACGGUCCAGACUCCUACGGGAGGCAGCAGUAGGGAAUCUUCCGCAAUGGGCGAAAGCUUGACGGAGCAACGCCGCGUGAGUGAUGAAGGUCUUCGGAUCGUAAAACUCUGUUAUUAGGGAAGAACAAAUGUGUAAGUAACUAUGCACGUCUUGACGGUACCUAAUCAGAAAGCCACGGCUAACUACGUG
rnacentral:rRNA from 1 species